rnacentral:rRNA from 1 species
UACAGAGGUCCCAAGCGUUGUUCGGAUUCACUGGGCGUAAAGGGUGCGCAGGUGGUCGGGUAAGUCUGAUGUGAAAUCCCGCAGCUUAACUGCGGAAUGGCAUUGGAUACUAUUCGGCUAGAGGGUUGGAGGGGGGACUGGAAUUCUCGGUGUAGCAGUGAAAUGCGUAGAUAUCAGGAGGAACACCGGUGGCGAAGGCGGGUCUCUGGACAGUUCCUGACGCUGAGGCACGAAGGUCAGGGGAGCAAACGGG